UACGGGGGGGCAAGCGGUUGUUCGGAAUUACUGGGCGUAAAGGGCUCGUAGGCGGCCAACUAAGUCAGACGUGAAAUCCCUCGGCUUAACCGGGGAACUGCGUCUGAUACUGGAUGGCUUGAGUUUGGGAGAGGGAUGCGGAAUUCCAGGUGUAGCGGUGAAAUGCGUAGAUAUCUGGAGGAACACCGGUGGCGAAGGCGGCGAUCCUGGACCGAACACC
rnacentral:rRNA from 1 species